rnacentral:rRNA from 1 species
GGCGGCGAGUGGCGGACGGGUGAGUAAUGUAUCGGAACGUGCCCGAUAGCGGGGGAUAACUACUGGAAAGAGUGGCUAAUACCGCAUACGCCCUACGGGGGAAAGGGGGGGAUCGCAAGACCUCUCGCUAUUGGAUGGGCCGAUAUGGGAUUAGCUAGUUGGUGGGGUAAAGGCUCACCUGGCAACGAUCCGUAGCUGGUUUGAGAGGACGACCAGCCACACUGGGACUGA